CUAGCCUAUUCUGGUAUAUGGCUGAUCACAUCUUGGUAUUUUGCUUAGCUAGAAGAUUAAGCACUUGAGCUGUGUCAUUAGUAAUAAUCUCAACUACCGCCCGUAGUCUAAUAAUGCGGUUGAGCAUAUAUAAUCGGAGUUCUAUAUCCAUAAGUGCCAUCUUCUGCCCAAGUAGCAGGUCCAUAAUAAUUAAUAAUACGUUGAGGGGGCCACUCAUUAUCUUCCCAGCUACCUAUAUUCAAGGAUGCUAACCCUUUUAUGAUUUACAUCGUAAACCUUAACUCCCAAGGUCUCUCCUGUUUCGAUUGGCAACAAGAAGAAGGAUGGCUUUGGCAUACCUAAUACACAUGCCCCUUCCCAAUCUUGUGGUAACUCCAAAUAAGUUUUCUUACCACAAAUCCAGUAUAAAUUUGCUGGGGCUUUCCAACUAGAUGUAGCCGAUAAGUCAAACCAUACCUCCUUUAAAUGAGUGUAAUUGGCAAACGGAUUAGUAGGUUCCGAGACAUUUGAAGCUGACCACCAAG